rnacentral:rRNA from 1 species
GACGAACGCUGGCGGCGUGCUUAACACAUGCAAGUCGAACGGAAAGGCCCUGCUUUUGUGGGGUGCUCGAGUGGCGAACGGGUGAGUAACACGUGAGUAACCUGCCCUUGACUUUGGGAUAACUUCAGGAAACUGGGGCUAAUACCGGAUAGGAGCUCCUGCUGCAUGGUGGGGGUUGGAAAGUUUCGGCGGUUGGGGAUGGACUCGCGGCUUAUCAGCUUGUUGGUGGGGUAGUGGCUUACCAAGGCUUUGACGGGUAGCCGGCCUGAGAGGGUGACCGGCCACAUUGGGACUGAGAUACGGCCCAGACUCCUACGGGAGGCAGCAGUGGGGAAUAUUGCACAAUGGGCGGAAGCCUGAUGCAGCAACGCCGCGUGCGGGAUGACGGCCUUCGGGUUGUAAACCGCUUUCGCCUGUGACGAAGCGUGAGUGACGGUAAUGGGUAAAGAAGCACCGGCUAACUACGUGCCAGCAGCCGCGGUGAUACGUAGGGUGCGAGCGUUGUCCGGAUUUAUUGGGCGUAAAGGGCUCGUAGGUGGUUGAUCGCGUCGGAAGUGUAAUCUUGGGGCUUAACCCUGAGCGUGCUUUCGAUACGGGUUGACUUGAGGAAGUUAGGGGAGAAUGGAAUUCCUGGUGGAGCGGUGGAAUGCGCAGAUAUCAGGAGGAACACCAGUGGCGAAGGCGGUUCUCUGGGCCUUUCCUGACGCUGAGGAGCGAAAGCGUGGGGAGCGAACAGGCUUAGAUACCCUGGUAGUCCACGCUGUAAACGGUGGGUACUAGGUGUGGGGUCCAUUCCACGGGUUCCGUGCCGUAGCUAACGCUUUAAGUACCCCGCCUGGGGAGUACGGCCGCAAGGCUAAAACUCAAAGGAAUUGACGGGGCCCCACACAAGCGGCGGAGCAUGCGGAUUAAUUCGAUGCAACGCGUAGAACCUUACCUGGGUUUGACAUGGAUCGGGAGCGCUCAGAGAUGGGUGUGCCUCUUUUGGGGUCGGUUCACAGGUGGUGCAUGGCUGUCGUCAGCUCGUGUCGUGAGAUGUUGGGUUAAGUCCCGCAACGAGCGCAACCCUUGUUCACUGUUGCCAGCACGUUAUGGUGGGGACUCAGUGGAGACCGCCGGGGUCAACUCGGAGGAAGGUGGGGAUGACGUCAAGUCAUCAUGCCCCUUAUGUCCAGGGCUUCACGCAUGCUACAAUGGCUGGUACAGAGAGUGGCGAGCCUGUGAGGGUGAGCGAAUCUCGGAAAGCCGGUCUCAGUUCGGAUUGGGGUCUGCAACUCGACCUCAUGAAGUCGGAGUCGCUAGUAAUCGCAGAUCAGCAACGCUGCGGUGAAUACGUUCCCGGG